rnacentral:rRNA from 1 species
CCUACGGGAGGCAGCAGUGAGGAAUAUUGGUCAAUGGACGAGAGUCUGAACCAGCCAAGUAGCGUGAAGGAUGACUGCCCUAUGGGUUGUAAACUUCUUUUAUAAAGGAAUAAAACGAGGCACGUGUGCCUUUUUGCAUGGACUUUAUGAAUAAGGAUCGGCUAACUCCGUGCCAGCAGCCGCGGUAAUACGGAGGAUCCGAGCGUUAUCCGGAUUUAUUGGGUUUAAAGGGAGCGUAGAUGGGUUGUUAAGUCAGUUGUGAAAGUUUGCGGCUCAACCGUAAAAUUGCAAUUGAUACUGGCAGUCGUGAGUACAGUUGAGGUAGGCGGAAUUCGUGGUGUAGCGGUGAAAUGCUUAGAUAUCACGAAGAACCCCGAUUGCGAAGGCAGCUUACUAAACUGUGACUGACAUUGAUGCUCGAAAGUGUGGGUAUCAAACAGGAUUAGAUACCCUUGUAGUC